GCUGUGGUAGCUCAGUGGUAGAGCACCACCUUGGUAAGGUGGGGGUCGCAGGUUCAACUCCUGUUCACAGCUCCA
rnacentral:tRNA from 1 species